UCCCUUAUAGCUCAGUCGGUAAAGAAUCUGCCUGCAAUGCAGGAAACCCGGGCUUGAUUCCUGGGUCAGGGAA
rnacentral:tRNA from 1 species